rnacentral:rRNA from 1 species
UGAGGAAUAUUGGUCAAUGGACGAGAGUCUGAACCAGCCAAGUAGCGUGAAGGAUGACUGCCCUAUGGGUUGUAAACUUCUUUUAUACGGGAAUAAAGUUAGCCACGUGUGGCUUUUUGUAUGUACCGUAUGAAUAAGGAUCGGCUAACUCCAUGCCAGCAGCCGCGGUAAUACGGAGGAUCCGAGCGUUAUCCGGAUUUAUUGGGUUUAAAGGGAGCGUAGGCGGGUUGUUAAGUCAGUUGUGAAAGUUUGCGGCUCAACCGUAAAAUUGCAGUUGAUACUGGCGACCUUGAGUGCAACAGAGGUAGGCGGAAUUCGUGGUGUAGCGGUGAAAUGCUUAGAUAUCACGAAGAACUCCGAUUGCGAAGGCAGCUUACUGGAUUGUAACUGACGCUGAUGCUCGAAAGUGUGGGUAUCAAACAGGAUUAGAUACCCUGGUAGUCCACACAGUAAACGAUGAAUACUCGCUGUUGGCGAUAUACGGUCAGCGGCCAAGCGAAAGCAUUAAGUAUUCCACCUGGGGAGUACGCCGGCAACGGUGAAACUCAAAGGAAUUGACGGGGGCCCGCACAAGCGGAGGAACAUGUGGUUUAAUUCGAUGAUACGCGAGGAACCUUACCCGGGCUUAAAUUGCAACUGACUGAACCGGAAACGGUUCUUUCUUCGGACAGUUGUGAAGGUGCUGCAUGGUUGUCGUCAGCUCGUGCCGUGAGGUGUCGGCUUAAGUGCCAUAACGAGCGCAACCCUUAUCGAUAGUUACUAGCAGGUCAUGCUGAGGACUCUAUUGAGACUGCCGUCGUAAGAUGUGAGGAAGGUGGGGAUGACGUCAAAUCAGCACGGCCCUUACGUCCGGGGCUACACACGUGUUACAAUGGGGGGUACAGAAGGCAGCUACACGGCGACGUGGUGCUAAUCCCGAAAGCCUCUCUCAGUUCGGAUUGGAGUCUGCAACCCGACUCCAUGAAGCUGGAUUCGCUAGUAAUCGCGCAUCAGCCACGGCGCGGUGAAUACGUUCCC